rfam:Gossypium hirsutum cultivar TM-1 unplaced genomic scaffold scaffold347.1, whole genome shotgun sequence
UGUUAAAAAUUUAAUCUAAUUUUACAAUUAAAAACUGGCGUGGUUGACAAAAUAACCAGAUAGUUACGCGUAGUGUUCCAUGUCAGUUUUUAACAGUAAAAAUAGAUGAAAUUUUUAAUA